GGUAAUAUAGCUUAAGAGCCGUGGGUUUUGAACUCAGAUUGCCUUGGUUCAAAUCCGAGUUUCAUUU
rnacentral:tRNA from 2 species